AACGUAGGAGACAAACGUUAUCCGGAGUUACUGGGCGUAAAGGGCGUGUAGGUGGUAGAGUAAGUCUGGCGUGAAAAUUUUUCGGCUUAACCGGGGAAAGGUCGCUCGGAUACUGCUUAAACUAGAGGACCGGUAGAGGCGUGUGGAAUUCCGGGUGUAGUGGUGAAAUGCGUAGAGAUCCGGAGGAACACCAGUGGCGAAGGCGCUCAUCUGGCCCAAUACUGACGCUGAAGCGCGAAAGCUAGGGGAGCAAACGGG
rnacentral:rRNA from 1 species